rnacentral:sRNA from 1 species
UUUACCGUUACCUUGUAAAGAAGCAAAGAUAACAAAUCUUAUUUAAUUUCUAGUGAUCCAAAUGGAUUAAAAGAAGUUCCUGUUUACAUUGAGUGACUCAGAGGAAUGACCUCAUCAAUGAUGAAGACGGUGUUUCCUGAUCAAGGAACGAUUAAAGGCCCUGGAUAUUUAUCUCCAACACUGAUCUGCUCUAAGUACUCUCUUUUCCAACCAUCACAAUCUGGGAAUUUACAUCUUGAGAGGGCAGCAGCACCAGAUGGAAGAAACUUGGAUUCCAAAAGUCACCAGAUGGAGAUGAGCUCUGGCCAACUUUUAUCAGACUUCAUGCAACUAAGAAGCUCUGAGCUCUUGGUGUUGCAACCAUGCAAAUCCUAGGUAGAGAAGACAGUCUCAAUGAGGUAGUGGCAGUCCUGAAGGAUUUAUUGACAGAGUUAAUGCUGGGCACGGUGAGUGGAAGGGUGAAGAUUUCAUCCUUGGAGGA